rnacentral:pre_miRNA from 1 species
AGCCCUGUGUAUCCGUGCUGAGAUUUCGUCAGAGAACAACCCAUUGGAGCUGAUGGUACUUCCAAAAUAGGUGAGGCG